GAUGAACGCUAGCGGCAGGCUUAACACAUGCAAGUCGAGGGGUAUUGGUUUUCGGACCAAGAGACCGGCGCACGGGUGCGUAACGCGUAUGCAAUCUACCUUUUGCAGAGGGAUAGCCCAGAGAAAUUUGGAUUAAUACCUCAUAGUAUAGUACUUUGGCAUCAAGGAACUAUUAAAGUCACAACGGCAAAAGAUGAGCAUGCGUCCCAUUAGCUAGUUGGUAAGGUAACGGCUUACCAAGGCUACGAUGGGUAGGGGUCCUGAGAGGGAGAUCCCCCACACUGGUACUGAGACACGGACCAGACUCCUACGGGAGGCAGCAGUGAGGAAUAUUGGUCAAUGGGGCGCAAGCCUGAACCAGCCAUGCCGCGUGCAGGAAGACGGUCCUAUGGAUUGUAAACUGCUUUUAUACAGGAAGAAACCCUCCCACGUGUGGGAGCUUGACGGUACUGUAGGAAUAAGGAUCGGCUAACUCCGUGCCAGCAGCCGCGGU
rnacentral:rRNA from 1 species